GAUCUAUUUAAAUGUGGAAAGUUCUGUGCUAACCUGAAGCAUUCUGAGAGAUUGAAUUCAGGAGUUAUGGUAGUGGAGCCAUCUCAAUCAGUUUUCAAUGACAUGAUGACUAAAGUGAACACUUUGCACUCUUACACUGGAGGAGAUCAGGGGUUUCUGAACUCAUAUUACUCCGACUUUCCCAAUGCACAUGUUUUCCAGCCUAAUUUACCCCAGGA
rnacentral:misc_RNA from 1 species